CGACACCGUCCGGUCCGGUCCAGUUCGGUGCGGUGCCCGACCUUCAGAGAUUUCCAAGGGACACCGCGUUCGUUGGGCGGACUCUUACCUGCUGCUUUUUCGUCUCCAGAUCGUUAUUCCCGGCUUUCCGCUCCCUCGCUUGCACUGGAUUGCCAUUCGAUGAGUUGAAUUAAUAGGCGCAACGAUCGAUUGUUGGGAGGGGGAAGGGACGUCAACCCGUCGAAUCGUUGCCCUGCGACUUGCUGCGGGUCGCCAGAAUCGCCUUCAAGCUUUUGAUUUUGAAUCCGGUUGUUCUCUUGCUGUGAUCUCUGUCUGCAGCGCGGCGCCUCGCGUUGUCGCCUCCUCUUGAUUGCGUCUGGAGAGUUUGGAGCCAAAGGUCGAACAUUUGAGGACCGCGGAAAGCGGGUUGGACCAGAGGUCGAAGCUUCGUACGAUUUCAGCAGCACAUACAGGGGACGGAAGGCGGGAAACUUAUAAGGGUUUCGAUGGGGAGAGUGAAACUGAAGAUAAAGAGAUUGGAGAAUAGCAACAGCCGGCAGGUCACCUAUUCGAAGAGGAAAACCGGGGUGACGAAGAAGGCGAAGGAGCUAUCUAUUUUGUGCGAUAUCGACCUGGUCCUUCUCAUGUUCGCGCCUAAUGGGAAGCCUACCAUAUGCGUCGGAGACCGCAGGUACUAGCUACUAUUACCACUCGGUCAUCUUUCAUGGCCAUGCGGUUGUUUCAAUGAUUUGGCAGUGCUCUUUGCUAUAUCAGAUUUUGAGAAACAUGUUCUUUCUUUUUUUGUCUGAUUGCUGCUGAAUGUUUCUAAGUGUGAUGAUGCAUUUUGAGUGGGUUAUGUAUGUUGUUUAGUUGAGGUUGAACCUCAGGGUCAUGGUAAGGUUGCUAGGUAAGUAAAGUUUGGGAGUAAGGUUGCAUGCAUUGACCCUUUCUAGAUCUUGUAUUUGGCAGGAGCCAUGUGCAUUGAGCUGCCCUUAUAUUUGUUGUUUAAUUCUGUAAAUAGUCUUUCAUAGGCAAUGGAAUGAGAUCCUCUUGACUGGCAAUGUCCGCUAGAAGUCUUCUUACGCAUGACCAUGUAUAUUAAUUGAUUAGUUCAAGUAGAGGACAUAUAAUAGUUACAAUAUGGAAAUAGAUGUGGAAGCACUAUCCUCUAUUAUACGAGGGUAAUUUUUUGGUAAAUAGUAAAGGUGUCCUCCCAUAAUUCCCCUCCAUCUCUUAUGCACGUUUACUCUAAUGCAUUCUUCUUUUUCUCUAGUCGCAAUACUGAGGAAGUUGUUGCAAGGUUUGCUCAAGUAUCCCAACAAGAAAAGGGCAAAAGGGCAUGCUCAAAUUCUCAUUGGCUUUUAAAUGUGUUUCUUUGUUAAUUAUAUGUCUCUGAUGUCACCUUUCAACUUUUUGUAAUUUUAACAGAAAGUUGGAGAGUCUUGAAGUAAGUUUGUUCGCCAUUCUGCAGUGAUCAAUAUAUUGAGUAUGAUCAUUCCAUCUUUGUUACAGAAACUUCAAUUCAAGCAUCCGAGGAUCAUUAUCACAUACUUUGCAAAACUUAUGUCCCCUUUUUUUUCUAGGUUCUGAAGAAAACAUUCAAGAAGUUGGACCACGAUGUUGAUAUCCAAGAGUUCCUUGGUUCCAGAUACUGAUAGUUUUUAUAUACUUGGCAUAUGUUGCAAAAAUGUUCCAAAUUUCUUAUGCUCUUUUGUUUUUCUUGCAGCACCCAAACGGUUGAGGAGAUAACUAAUCACUGGUCGUCAUUGCAUGGUCAACUAUUAGAUGUACAAAAAAGACUCAGCAAUUGGGCUGACCCAGACAAGAUUAAUAACAUAAACCAUAUUACCACAAUGGAACAAUCUCUUAAGGAAUCUCUUGUCCAAAUUCAAGUGCAUAAGGAGAACUUUGGAAAGCAACUUAUUUCUGUAGAUUACAGUGGCCAGAAUGACAUCCAUCCAUCCACAGGAUUAGGCUGUGAGCAAGGAGCCUCACCCGUUUCAUGGCUUCAUAUCAAUGAUGAUCAGCAAUUGAUGCUUCCACAAGAUGCUAAUCUGCUACCUUGGAGCACAGGUGAACAGACAGGGGCCAAUGACCAAAUACAAGAGGAGUGCUUGCAUGAAUAUAGUCAGAAUACAUGUUUGAGGUGACAACUGGGAGGACAGUAUCCCUACAACUCUUACGGUUGGAAUUUGCUAUGUGAAAGAACAUUCAAGCCUGAGGCAGAAAAGAGCUUGCAGGAAAGUAGUAUAGAUUACCAAGUGAAUCACUUUGAUGCUAGCUUUCACAAUUGGGUUUCCACAUCUGGGACAUGUGGUGUUGCAAUAUAUGAUGAGCAGUCAUACACCCAAGAGGUUGCAUGGUCAUGCUUGAAGGUUUUGUCCCAUCCACCUAUGAUGUAUCUACACUCACCAGCGGUUGUAUGGUUUGCCAUGCACCCCAGCCUAACAGGUGUUCCCUGCAUCCCCAGCUGUAAGUGUUGGUUCCUGGGUCAGGACACAUUUUAGGACACAAGACAUUUUCAAUUAAGAUUGAGAUAUUUCAUGACACCAAAAGUGUAUAUGGGAUAUGCUUAGCACUCCAAGAAUGAAAGGGAGACACAUGAUGCCUAUUUGUUCUUUUCCUUGAGUUGAAGUUAGAUUGAACUAGAAGUGAUCUCUGCUCCUAAUUUAUAUCUUUAAAUGUGUUGUGAUUUUUCAUUUAGUUAUACAUUCUGCCACUCGAUGCUUUCCCCCUCUUAAAUUUUGCAUAAUCUCCUUCCAGUGUGCAUAUUUCGAACUUCUGAAUUAGUAAACCAACUUAUCUAGUAACUAUCAUUUUUCUUCUUGUUAUAUUCGAUAUUGUAACUGGUAAUUUGCACCUUCAAGUGAUGGGAUUAUCCUAAUUCAUGCAAUAUUGUAUCUGAUAUUUUGUUAGCAAUCUCAAAGCUUUAAAUUGCCUGAUCUUAGAUGUCAGGAUCAUGGCCAAUGAGAGGGUAAAUCCUCUGUUACCCUUUCUGAUGUCUUUCUCAGAAUAAGAACCUCAAAUCUCAUAAAGCCCUCGUGCACACGGAAGAUGCCUGGGAUAUGUAAUGAGAAAGCCCUGUAGAUGUCAGUUUGACGUUUUGCCUGAUUGAUGAUUUCCUGCUUGCCAUUGCUUAUGUUUUGCCUAUUAAUCUAACUCUUGUUUUCACUGAACCUAA